CACCGACCCCUCUCGCUCUCCAGGCUUCAGGGAUAGCCGCCUGAAGCCUCCGGAGCGCAGCAGGAACUCUCUCGCUCUCCAGGUUUCAGGGAUAGCCGCGAAGCCUGGAGAGCGAGAGGGGUCGGUA